CCUACGGGCGGCAGCAGUGAGGAAUAUUGGUCAAUGGUCGGGAGCCUGAACCAGCCAAGCCGCGUGCGGGAGGACGGUACUGUGUAUCGUCAACCUCUUUUGUCGGGGAACAAAGACUGGGACGCGUCCCCUGACGAGAGUACCUGAAGAAAAAGCAUCGGCUAACUACGUGCCAGCAGCCGUGGUAAUACGGGGGGUGCGAGCGUUAUCCGGUUUUAUGGGGUUUGAAGGGUGAGCAUGCGGGCUGUUAUGUCAGCGGAAAAAUGGCGGGGCUCAAACCCGGCCCGCCGUUGAAACUGGCAGACUCGAGUUGGAGAGAAGUAAGCGGAAUGCGCGGUGUAGCGGUGAAAUGCAUAGAUAUCGGGCAGAACUCCGAUUGCGAAGGCAGCGUGCCGGCUCCACACUGACGCUGAGGCACGAAAGCGUAGGGAGCGAACAGGAUUAGAUACCCUGGUAGUC
rnacentral:rRNA from 1 species